CAUGCAGGAGAUCAUUUAAUUACUUUUAUCUUAUUGCUCAUUUUAAUCGUGAUUUUGUGAUCAGCCUGGCUUGGAAGUUUGAGGACAAGGAUGUAGUUUUUCUACAGUUUUAUUCUCAUUUUUCUAUACAAAAUGCCUGAUAGAGUACCACUUCUGCUAAUCAGCAAUUCUUAUUGGCAGUUAUAAAAAUUUUAAACUAAGAGCAGCUGCAUUACAGAGCACCUAUAAUGGAACGUGACAUAAAUCGAAAGACCUCAGGCAGCUCUCAGAUAUGGUUACACAUGGAAAGCAAUAGGGUGACACUGACAUCAUCUUCUCUGAUCAACUGGUGCACACUGAACCCAAAGGACAAAGGGCACACACGAUUUGUUGAGAAGAACAUUUAUUAUGAGAAUGGGCUUCUUGUGUACUAAUUCAUUUUUGACAGGGGAUGUGUAAAAUCUAAGAACGUUCCACUAUUUACUGCUUAAACAAGAAUGAUUUUCUCUUAUUUACAGAGAUAAUAUUGUUUGACCCAACCUUGAUCCUGCCAUGGUAUGUUUACCACCUCAUGUCUUGGCAUGUUAACAUGCAGGUCUAAAAAGACUUGACCUCUCAAUUGAGAAAACCCAAAAGACAACUGGUUUGCCUUAUUGAAUAAUGAACCUGAGACCCCUCAAAAAUGAUCUCAUGUGGUACAUUUGCCCCACUCAAUGAAAGAGUCCUCGGAUGACCAAUCGACUCCUUUCCACAGUGUCAUUAAUAGUUGCCCCAGAAAUCAAUCAGUGAACAAAGCAGCAGGCCAUCACCUCCUAUCCUGCUUUUUACCACUGUGAAGUUAUUUAUUUCUAAUUUUUAUGAGACCACCAAAUCAUCCCCAAUACUGCAGAAAAACACAGGGCAAGGCGAGAGUGGGUGAUGUGAGAUGAGGUAACAUGGAGAAUGUUGCAGAGACUUCAAGUUUUCAUCCAAUUUUUCUUCUUUUCAGCUCCCAGUGUUAUAAAUGUCCCACAAGACAACAGUCCUGAAACCGAACACCCAGGAAAUCUUAUAAAGCCAGAUCCCCGUCCAACAGGGUUAACUCCAGACUCCAGAAAAUGUGAAAAAGCAUGUGUCUGACCACCCAGCAAUUCUGGAAUUUGAAAGUCAAGGAGGUUUGAAGAUCCGUCAACCCUGUACUUGCUCACAAAGAAAAUUGUAUGAAGGCACAGCACUGUGUUUUCUGAACUUCAGCAAUCUCCACUCUCCCCUGAGUGCUCAGCGGACUGUCCACCACCACGUGAACACUUGCUCAUUGACCCUCUGAUACUAACUGUAGUCCUUCGGCAACAUGUAUAUAAUCUUGAGAAGAUGGUCCGUGCUAGGGUCCCAAGAGAUGCUCCAGUCAAC